rnacentral:tRNA from 1 species
GGUGCUGUAGUGUAGCCGGUCAUCCAUCAUCACUCAAGCUCAAGAUUCUUAUUCUUGAAAACCAGGUUCGAUUCCUGGCAGUGCCU